UCAUAAACACAUUGUUGGAGUUUGCUAAAUCUAUCAACUAGGAAAAGAAAGUGAGUUAGGCACUCAUGGUGGUACAAAAAAGUUCUUAGAGAGUAAAGAGAAGAAGAAAGAUAAAGAAGAAUAAUUGCAGAAGCUGCUGUGUGCAGCGUUCGGAAGAAGAGAGAUACCCCUGCCUUGACAGCCGCCUCCUUUUUUAUAGAAGAGGAGUCAGAAUUUUCUUCUUUUUGUUUUGAUCUACAAUCUUCCCUUGAUUUUGGCGUAUCAAUAGCUUCUAGAUUGGUCUCCAUGAUUUUUUGUCAGCAAAUAUGGGCCUAAAUGGGAUCUGAUUUCAAAUUUCAAGGGCGCGCAUUUUGUUUUUGAAUUGAUUACUAUGCACAGUUCUUGGUCUUGCCCAAGCUCAUGAUCCACUACAUGAAUUCUUCCUCUCUUCA
rnacentral:lncRNA from 1 species